GGGUUACAUAGUGAGUGAGUGAGUUUAGUUCUACGCCGCUUUUAGCAAUAUUCCAGCAUUCAUGGCGGGGGAGACCAGACAUG